UGGGGAAUAUUGGACAAUGGGCGAAAGCCUGAUCCAGCCAUGCCGCGUGUGUGAAGAAGGCCUUAUGGUUGUAAAGCACUUUAAGUGGGGAGGAAAAGCUUAUGGAUAACACCCAUAGGUUCUGACGUUACCCACAGAAUAAGCACCGGCUAACUCUGUGCCAGCAGCCGCGGUAAUACAGAGGGUGCAAGCGUUAAUCGGAAUUACUGGGCGUAAAGCGAGCGUAGGUGGUUUAUUAAGUCAGAUGUGAAAUCCCUGGGCUUAACCUAGGAACUGCAUCUGAUACUGAUAAACUAGAGUAGGUGAGAGGAAAGUAGAAUUCCAGGUGUAGCGGUGAAAUGCGUAGAGAUCUGGAGGAAUACCGAUGGCGAAGGUAGCUUUCUGGCAUCAUACUGACACUGAGGUUCGAAAGCGUGGGUAGCAAACAGGAUUAGAUACCCUGGUAGUCCACGCCGUAAACGAUGUCUACCAGUCGUUGGGUCUUUUAAAGGCUUAGUGACGCAGUUAACGCGAUAAGUAGACCGCCUGGGGAGUACGGCCGCAAGGUUA
rnacentral:rRNA from 1 species